GGCCACAGCCAUGCCACCCUGAACAAACCUGAUCCCAUCUGAUCUCAGAAGCUAAGCAGGGUCGGGCCUGGUUAGUACUUGGAUGGGAGACCACCUAGGAAUACUGGACUGUAACCA
rnacentral:rRNA from 1 species